UACGUAGGGUGCGAGCGUUAAUCGGAAUUACUGGGCGUAAAGCGUGCGCAGGCGGUUAUGCAAGACAGGUGUGAAAUCCCCGGGCUUAACCUGGGAACUGCAUUUGUGACUGCAUCGCUGGAGUGCGGCAGAGGGGGAUGGAAUUCCGCGUGUAGCAGUGAAAUGCGUAGAUAUGCGGAGGAACACCGAUGGCGAAGGCAAUCCCCUGGGCCUGCACUGACGCUCAUGCACGAAAGCGUGGGGAGCAAACAGG
rnacentral:rRNA from 1 species